rnacentral:rRNA from 1 species
CACGUAGGGUGCGAGCGUUGUCCGGAAUUAUUGGGCGUAAAGAGCUCGUAGGCGGUCUGUUACGUCUGCUGUGAAAACCCAGGGCUUAACCCUGGGCUUGCAGUGGAUACGGGCAGACUAGAGGCAGGUAGGGGAGAAUGGAAUUCCCGGUGUAGCGGUGAAAUGCGCAGAUAUCGGGAGGAACACCGGUGGCGAAGGCGGUUCUCUGGGACGGUACUGACGCUGAGACGCGAAAGCGUGGGGAGCAAACAGG